rnacentral:rRNA from 1 species
UAGAGUUUGAUCCUGGCUCAGAACGAACGCUGGUGGCGUGCCUAACACAUGCAAGUCGAACGAGAAAGGGGCAACCUGAGUAAAGUGGCGCACGGGUGAGUAACGCGUAGAUAAUCUACCUUAUUGAGCGGGAUAACACUGGGAAACUGGUGCUAAUACUGCAUAAUAUCUUUAUAUUAAUUUAUAAAGAUCAAAGGGUGCCCUCUGAAUAUGGUACCGCAAUAAGAUGAGUCUGCGUUCCAUCAGGUAGUUGGUAGGGUAAAGGCCUACCAAGCCGAAGACGGAUAACUGGUCUGAGAGGAUGAUCAGUCACACUGGAACUGAGACACGGUCCAGACUCCUACGGGAGGCAGCAGUGGGGAAUAUUGCGCAAUGGGGGAAACCCUGACGCAGCAACGCCGUGUGAGUGAUGAAGGCCUUUGGGUUGUAAAGCUCUGUCAGCGAGGAAAAAAGGCAUGGCAUCGAAUAGGUGUUAUGGAUGAUGGUACUCGCAAAGGAAGCACCGGCUAACUUCGUGCCAGCAGCCGCGGUAAUACGAAGGGUGCGAGCGUUGUUCGGAAUCAUUGGGCGUAAAGAGCGCGUAGGCGGGUAGUUAAGUCAGUAGUGAAAUCCUGUGGCUUAACCACAGAAGUGCUAUUGAAACUGGCUAUCUAGAGUAUUUUAGGGGAGAGCGGAAUUCCUAGUGUAGAGGUGAAAUUCGUAGAUAUUAGGAGGAACACCUGACGCGAAGGCGGCUCUCUGGGAAUAACUGACGCUAAGGCGCGAAAGCGUGGGAGCAAACAGGAUUAGAUAUCCUGGUAGUCCACGCCGUAAACGAUGGAUACUAGUUGUUAUUUACUAUAAGUAAGUAGUGACGAAGGAAACCCGAUAAGUAUCCCGCCUGGGAAGUACGGUCGCAAGAUUAAAACUCAAAGAAAUUGACGGGGACCCGCACAAGCGGUGGAGCAUGUGGUUUAAUUCGAGGCAACGCGAAGAACCUUACCUGGCCUUGACAUUAUGUGAAGGUAUCAGAAAUGGUACUGUUCGUAGCAAUACGACACAUGGACAGGUGCUGCAUGGCUGUCGUCAGCUCGUGUCGUGAGAUGUUGGGUUAAGUCCCGCAACGAGCGCAACCCUUGCUUUUAGUAGCCAAUAUUAAGUUAGGCACCCUAGAAGGACUGCCGGUGUUAAACCGGAGGAAGGUGGGGAUGACGUCAAGUCCUCAUGGCCCUUAUGGCCAGGGCUACACACGUGCUACAAUGGGGUCUACAAAGGGAAGCGAAGGGGUGACCUGGAGCCAAUCUCAAAAAAGGCUCCUCAGUUCAGAUUGUAGUCUGCAACUCGACUACAUGAAGUCGGAAUCGCUAGUAAUCGCGGAUCAGAAUGCCGCGGUGAAUACGUUCCCGGGUCUUGUACACACCGCCCGUCACACCACGAGAAUUGGUCUAUCCAGAAGUCACUGUGCUAACCCGAAAGGGAGGUAAGUGCCCAAGGAUUGGCUAGUGAUUGGGGUGAAGUCGUAACAA